CGUAGGGUGCGAGCGUUAAUCGGAAUUACUGGGCGCAAAGUGUGCGCAGGUGGCUGAGCAAGUCGAGUGUGAAAUCCCCGGGCUUAACUUGGGAAUUGCGCUCGAAACUACUUGGCUCGAGUGUGGCAGAGGAAGGUGGAAUUCCAGGUGUAGCGGUGAAAUGCGUAGAGAUCUGGAGGAACACCGAUGGCGAAGGCAGCCUUCUGGGCCAACACUGACGCUCAUGCACGAAAGCGUGGGGAGCAAACAGGAUUAGAUACCCUGGUAGUCCACGCCCUAAACGAUGAUGACUAGUUGUUGGGGGAGUUAAAUCCCUUAGUAACGCAGCUAACGCGUGAAGUCAUCCGCCUGGGGAGUACGGUCGCAAGAUUA
rnacentral:rRNA from 1 species